GAUGAACGCUGGCGGCGUGCUUAACACAUGCAAGUCGAACGAAGCACUUUAACUUGAUUUCUUCGGAAUGAUUGUUCUUGUGACUGAGUGGCGGACGGGUGAGUAACGCGUGGGUAACCUGCCUCAUACAGGGGGAUAACAGUUAGAAAUGACUGCUAAUACCGCAUAAGCGCACAGUACCGCAUGGUAUGGUGUGAAAAACUCCGGUGGUAUGAGAUGGACCCGCGUCUGAUUAGCUAGUUGGUGAGGUAACGGCCCACCAAGGCGACGAUCAGUAGCCGACCUGAGAGGGUGACCGGCCACAUUGGGACUGAGACACGGCCCAAACUCCUACGGGAGGCAGCAGUGGGGAAUAUUACACAAUGGGCAAAGCCUGAUGCAGCGACGCCGCGUGAAUGAAGAAGUAUUCGGUAUGUAAAGCUCUAUCAGCA
rnacentral:rRNA from 1 species